rnacentral:rRNA from 1 species
CCUACGGGGGACAGCAGUGAGGAAUAUUGGUCAAUGGGCGUAAGCCUGAACCAGCCAAGUCGCGUGAGGGGUGAAGGUUCUAUGGAUCGUAAACCUCUUUUAUAAGGGAAUAAAGUGUGGGACGUGUCCUGUUUUGUAUGUACCUUAUGAAUAAGGAUCGGCUAACUCCGUGCCAGCAGCCGCGGUAAUACGGAGGAUCCGAUCGUUAUCCGGAUUUAUUGGGUUUAAAGGGUGCGUAGGCGGCCUUUUAAGUCAGCGGUGAAAGUCUGUGGCUCAACCAUUGAAUUGCCGUUGAAACUGGGAGUCUUGAGUAUGUGUGAGGCAGGCGGAAUGCGUGGUGUAGCGGUGAAAUGCGUAGAUAUCACGAAGAACCCCGAUUGCGAAGGCAGCCUGCCAAGCCAUGACUGACGCUGAGGCACAAAAGCGUGGGGAGCAAACAGGAUUAGAUACCCUUGUAGUC